rnacentral:lncRNA from 1 species
GAAAAAAUGACACAAAGAAAACGAAACAAAAAAAAGAAAGAAAAAAUAAAGAGAGAAAACAAGAAGCCGGUUGCACCUAGAGUAAAGUAGGAGUCACAUGUGAAACAAAAAUGUGGAUGAAUGAUUAGGCUGAGCAGGGAAAUUAAGAUAAAAGGAAGUAUGUAUUAAAAGUGCUUAGGGAGGUUAGUCGAUACACCCAAAUGUAUCAUACCCGUCCCUUAGCCUACAUUACAACCAAAUAAAGACCUUUUGAUAUUUGACUAAAACAGCUCGAUUGGUAGAGUACUACACCAAGGGCAAGCUCAUGGUGUAUCUGUAUGGCAUGUGAAUGUUCUUUGCUGAGAGUGAGUGAAUUCUUUCUAUCUUUGGUUCCUUGUUGCUUGAAUUUUAUGUGUGUGGAAUCUCUCUCAGACUUGAUGCGAGGGCAUGUGACUCAAGAGGAAAAGUAAGUCUUCACCUCUGUUAGAGUAAAUAGAGUGAGCACGAGUGUGUCAUGACAGUAGAGUCUGCAUCUGGGGUAUUGCUUAGGUUGUUUCGUCAAAAUGGCGGGUGUGACAUAACUUGGGGUAAUGCAUCAAACGGUUAGGCCCAGAAGUAUGGUUUAGCUUGCUCGAGGACGAGCAUAGGUUUAAGUGUGGGGUGUUGAUAAUAGCUGAAUUUAACUAUAUUCAGGCCCUAAAUAAUCACCUUCUUGCAUAGUUUUGGUAAUAAAAGUGAUAACAAAAUGCUCUUAUGAGUGCUUUUCAUGUGAAUUUAACUAUAUGCAGGUCCUAAAUAACCACCUUCUCGCAUAGUUUUGGUAAUAAAGUGAUAACAAAUCGCCCUUAUGAGUGCUUUUCAUGAUUUUUAGUUUAUAUAUGACUAGGGAAGGCUCGGGAGUACUUUUGGAGUCAAAAAUAAAGAAAAAGAGGCCAACUAUGAAAAUUUUUAAGUGAACCACGCCAAAAACAGGCUGAAGAAUCAGAUGAAGUGUACUCCGCGUUUUCACCGCGACCGCGGCAGAACCGCGGUGAGAUGUUAUCGCGGACAAGAUGAGAAUCAGAGGGGUUGUUUGGCCGUGGUUCUAUCGCGACCGCGGCAAAACCGCGGUAGGCGCAGGAAAGUUCAGGGACAGAAGUGUCAACACGGGAUUUUAGCCCUAAACCUUAUUUUAGUCAAUAGACUUCGCCCAAAAGGAGGCAUGUAUUCAGUUUUUGGAAUUCUUUGAAGGAAAAACAAUUGUGAGAGAA